UCUACUCUUGGACAGCCUUCUGAAAGGAAGAUUAAUACAAGAUGGCAUCAUGAGUCCGCAUGUUCACAUGAUUAAAGGUAUUCCGGUAGACGAUGGGGAUGCGUUCCAUUAGAUAGUAGGCGGGGUAACGGCCCACCUAGUCUUCGAUGGAUAGGGGUUCUGAGAGGAAGGUCCCCCACAUUGGAACUGAGACACGGUCCAA
rnacentral:rRNA from 1 species